ACAAAGUGGGAGGUAAACUCCUUCUAAAGCUAAAUAUCACCACGAGACCGAUAGCGAACAAGUACCGUGAGGGAAAGUUGAAAAGCACUCUGAAUAGAGAGUCAAAAAGUACGUGAAACUGCCUAGGGCUCAAGCCCGUUGAACUCGAUUAUCCGAGCGGAGACAUUCACCUGCGGCCGGGCUUUGCCGCCCAUGCUGCAGGGCACUUGUCUCCCGCGCUACACGAGGACAUUGCGAUCCAUUACGAAACAGCUUCUGCGUCGCAAGACGCAAGGUCGCCCGACAGUUGCCCCUUGGUGCCGGUUGCUUGCCCCACCGUAGCGACGCUCAGUUCUGAAGGCCUGUGCCGCGAGCUGGGGCUUACUGCACGUGGUGUUUGCAGUCGGGCGCGUGAUGGAUUCCAGCGUACACCGUCGGCCUUCCCGCAAUGGGCCGACGGACUGUCGAUCGGCAAUGAUAAAAUCGAGGUACCU
rnacentral:rRNA from 1 species